GUCUAUGACCAUACCACCCCGAAUGUACCCGAUCUCCUCUGAUCUCGGAAACUAAGCAGGGUCAGGCCUGGUUAGUACUUGGAUGGGAGAAGUGUAAAAUCUGGAUGACUAAAAUC
ensembl:rRNA 5S_rRNA 5S ribosomal RNA